rnacentral:misc_RNA from 1 species
AACGCACAUUGCGCCCUUUGGUAUUCCAUUGGGCAUGCCUGUUCGAGCGUCAUUUAAACCCUCAAGCUAUGCUUGGUGUUGGGCGUCUGUCCCGCCUCUGGCGCGGACUCGCCUUGAAGAUAUUGGCGGUUGGUGCAUCGGCCGGAAGCGCAGCAAAGACGCGCCUUUCCUGCCCUCGCGCCUCCCUCCAGGAAGCUAUACUCACAUCUUGACCUCGGAUCAGGUAGGGAUACCCGCUGAACUUAA